CACGGAACAUCUAAUUCACUGUUUGUAGAAAAAAAUAAAAUGCCACCAAAAACAAAUGGUCGACAUUUUCCUUAGGGCAUAAACAACCCUAAAAUAAAACCUAAAUGCCAAGAGAUGAAACAUCUCAUUUGCACUCAAGCUUCUCGAGGAAGCUGUAGGCUGAUAAGAAUGUGAAACCCUAUUUCCAUCCUGCUCACGGUCGCCAUUAUGAGGGUUUCUAAAGCUUUCUUUGACAGAAGCCUUGAUGUAUUUUUCUUUCACCAUCGGGCCGCUACAGCCAACCUAGGAUCUGAGCAAACUCGAGGGUAUCCUGAAGCUUUGACAAGGGUUUUUUGUUGCAUUUUCCAGAAAACUCUCGGCCUUUGCAAAAUUGGAAUCUAGGCACUUGGAAGGGCUCGGGACGUAUAGAAACAAUCAGCCUUAGACCACCAUUAAAGACACCUAACCAGACAUCUAGGCAAUGACUGGUUACCCUCUUUACAUGCUUAUGCCUUUAUUUUACUUAUUUCGUAUAUUUAUUGUUCUUCUUUUGUUUCAAAUAAGUAAAGGCCAGUCUCAUGGCUUGUGUGAGACUACAUGUAUAUUUUUGUAUUUAAUGAAUAAAUAUUACAUUAUUUUUCAGAAAAUAUUGCGCAAAUCUUUCUAUUUUA